UUUUGUAGAUACAAGUAACUGAGGCUGAGAGAGUCAAUGCCAGACUUUUGCCUUAUCUUAUUUGCUUUUCACCAGUUUCCCUGGCCUCCCUUCACCUCCAGAAUUUUUCCUUAUUGGUGUUUCUGUAACAACCCAGAAGAAAAUGCUUUAAGUUUGACUGAAUGGAUCUCUGAUUGUUUCACUUGAGAGGCUAUUAACUACCUAAAUACAGCCAUCGAUAUUUACACAGUCAUGAGAAGAUUUACAAUUGCUGCCAAGCACCACAUUAUCACUGCAGAGAUAUACAAGACUGAAUUGGUAGACAUUGAAAAGCUCUUGAUUCCAGUUCAGCCAGCAAGGGUCUGUUGAAGGUGGCAGCAUCCGCUGCCCAGCUAGAAAAGUACCAGAAAACCACUGAAAUCUACAAGCAGUGGACAGGCAGGAAUAUGCUGCUGACUGCUUUGGGGAAUCGAUGGGCUCCAUCUGCACUCCCCACGUUCCCAUUUCCUGGAGGGAGUUGGAUUGGAAAUGUAUUUCAUUUUAGACUGAAAUAGAGAUGGCUGAGAUGCACUACUAGCUCCUGACAUGCCGAGGAUUACCAUGGAAACUUAUUUAAGGAUGCCCUUUCAAUUCAGCUGGUUCUUGAAAAGUAUGAAGAAAUGUUUCUGGCCUUUACCGAUUCAAGGGAAUGCAAAUUAUUGAAAAAAUUGUUGGAUGCUCAUGAGGAGCAGAACAGUAAAGCUUACACAGAAGCCGUACCUAGUCCAUUUAUUUUAUACUUCUGCAUCUAUAGCAGGUGCUUCAGGGUGGUAGUCACUGAAUCCGUAUUAUUCCCCCUGUUUUUUGAUUACAGAAACGUUAGCGAACAAUAAUACCAACAAGAUGUGUAUCUCCUGCUGUGAGCAAAUGCCUUGUUCAGAGAGGUUCUUCUACCCUUUUAAAUGGAUUUCAAAAAUAGCAUAACUCAGUGUUAUUACUGUUUGGCUGCCUGCUAUUUCAUAUGUCUCUGAUUGUAAUACAGUGUAGCUUCUGUUUUAGAUUUAAUUUUUUGUCUUGGUUGUUCCUUUGACCUAUGUGCUCAGAAUUGCUCUGAAUCCAAGUCAAGGAUUUUGGAACACUUAUAGUCCCUUAAAGCAAAAAAUAAAACAACAAGAACUAAAAACUCAACUCUUGAAAUAGCAGUCUAAGCCUAAGAAACUGCCCUCAAAUUCUGUAGCUGCCAAGGCAACUUCAUUUCCUGUCUCCUUUCUCCUCCUCCUCCUCCUCCUUCCUUCCUGCUUUCCAAAGUACUAGGAAAGGAAGGGUGGGGACUAAGGGCAGAGAGUGUCAGAGAACCAGAGGGGUCUUUAAUCCCUCUUUGAUUUUUCUCUGGGGAACCUGCCUUGCUCUCUGUGGCACAUGACUCCACCCUCAUCACACCUCUCAUCUCCCAAUGCCCAUUCAAGCUGAGCCUCCAGCUGCCUCUUAUUGUGAGUCCUGGAAAUAAAAGAGAACCAGACAGAGGGAGGGAGGUAGAGAUUGUGCAAGGGGAGAAGUAGAGGGAGCUGACCA